GCAGAAAACAUUUAAAUGCCUCUAUUACCCUUCUGCCGAGGAAUCUUUGUUCCCAAAACACAGAAAAGCGAAGAGAAGAGAGAGGAGAAGAGGAGAAGAACGAGAGAAGCGAUUUUCUCUCACACACAGAGACUCUUCUCCACGACAGACAUGUUGAACCGUUACGACCACAGAUAUGCCGAUCCUCACUCCUACCGAGAGCGUCGAAGUGACCUAAUGGGUCCACCACCGUCUAUGGUGGUUCCGCCCGUGAUGGGCGGUGGAAUAGGUAACGCUGCCCCGAACUAUGGCCGAGGCGGGCCGCUUCACUUUGGAGGCCCACCGGUGCCUGGUAGAGGGUCCGGAAGCGUUCCCGGUGCGGAUAGUUUUAAUGGGUACCCGCCUUUCCAACCAGGCGUCGAUAUUGGUCGAAGCGUUGGUGUUGGAGGAAGAGGAUUUAGUGCUGGUAGAGGAAGUGGUGGUGGUGUUGUAGAUCUUGGUGGUAGAACGGCCAAUAGCGGUGUUGGGGAUCGGAGAGGUGGCGGUGGUGGUGGUGGUGCUGGUGGAAGGGAUCGUGAAGCCGGGCGAGGUGGCGGUGGUACUGGAAGGGGUGGUUAUGGCGGAGGUAGAGUUGGUGGUGUGGGCAGGAGUUCUGGUGGAGGUCGAAGUGGUGGCAGGAAUUUUGAUGGAGGCAUGGCAGGUGGUAGGUUUUCUGAUGCUGGCCGAGGCGGUGGUAGGGGUUUUGGUGGUGGGCGUGCUGGCGGAAGGGGUUUCGAUGGAGGCCGUGGUGGAAGAGGAGGCAGACACGGUGGAGGGUCAAGAGGGGACUUGGAUAAUAUUGCUCUACCAAAGCAAGAUUUUGGGAACUUAGUUCCCUUUGAGAAGAACUUUUACAUUGAAACUCCUUCAGUUAGGGCGAUGACUGAGCACGAGGCAAUGAUGUACCGUGCAAAGCGUGAGAUCACUGUUGAAGGGCAUGAUAUCCCGAAGCCAAUUCGGCAGUUUCAAGAGACUAACUUUCCUGAUUACUGCCUUGAGGUUAUCUAUAAAUUGGGUUUUGUCGAGCCAACACCAAUUCAGGCUCAAGGAUGGCCAAUGGCUUUAAAGGGCAGAGAUUUAAUUGGAAUUGCUGAGACUGGCUCUGGUAAGACUUUGGCGUAUCUGCUGCCCGCUUUGGUUCAUGUCAGUGCACAGCCUCCAUUGGCACAAGGUGAAGGUCCCAUUGUACUAAUAUUAGCACCCACUAGAGAACUGGCUGUUCAGAUUCAAGAAGAAGCUUUGAAAUUCGGAUUGCGUGCAAAAAUUAGAACUACUUGCGUUUAUGGUGGUGUUCCAAAAGGACCACAGAUACGUGAUCUUAGGAAAGGUGUUGAAAUUAUCAUUGCUACACCUGGACGACUGAUAGAUAUGUUGGAAGCUCAACACACUAACUUGAAAAGAGUUACUUACCUUGUGUUGGACGAAGCUGAUCGAAUGUUGGACAUGGGAUUUGAGCCUCAAAUCCGGAAAAUUAUUGCCCAGAUCCGACCAGAUAGACAGACGUUGUAUUGGAGUGCCACAUGGCCAAGGGAGGUGGAAACUCUAGCAAGGCAGUUUCUACGCAAUCCUUACAAGGUAAUCAUUGGGUCCGUAGAUUUGAAAGCGAAUCAAUCUAUAAACCAAGUUGUUGAAGUUGUGACAGAGUUGGAGAAGUACAACAGGCUGAUCAGACUGCUCAAAGAAAUGAUGGAUGGAAGCCGAAUUCUAGUAUUUAUGGAGACAAAAAAAGGAUGCGACCAAGUGACAAGACAACUGAGAAUGGAUGGGUGGCCAGCUUUAUCCAUCCAUGGUGAUAAAAACCAGUCCGAAAGGGAUUGGGUCCUCGCUGAGUUCAAAAGUGGCAGAAGUCCUAUAAUGACUGCCACUGAUGUGGCUGCACGUGGUCUUGGUAGGAUCACUGUGUGUUAGGACUUUAGGCAUUUUUAAGUCUCUUACAUGUAGAUCUUGAAAUUCUGAGAUGGUCGAGUCAGCCAGCUGCUGUCCACUUCCCUGAGAAUAUAAUUUGUGGUUUGGGUGCGAAGGCCGCCAUCGUGUUUAGAAGCUGUUAACUGAAUUUUGUUUCACCCACGAGUAGGACCGAUUAUGCUUCACCUAAGGAAUUACAAAUUGGAUUGAUAGGCAAUUUUUCGUUUCUUGCAUUCACUUAGAAUGUCCCGUAAGAUACCUCUGUUUGGUGCUGCCUAAUUCUAAUAGCUUAUGUUACAUGGACACGGAGCAUUGUUUCAGUGAUGUACCUGGGGCACUAGUUUUUAGAUUUCGCAGGAUGUGACAUUAUACUAUGCAAGGCAGUAUUAUAGUUCGUGGAAGUCCUUUCUUUCUAUUCUUUUGUUACUCAUGGGGAAAUAGAGAUAUAGAAAGCUAGCUUUAAUAGGAUCAUAAUCUCCGCUAAAGUUGCUAGAAUGGUAUGGCUCCCUACUGUGUGUCUAAGUAACAUGGUUGAAGUUAUCGUUGCCCAUCCACGGUUAUGGAGCUGGUUGUCGUGACAGCCUGGUUGACUCAUGCAAAGCUUUUCCACUGAUUGGUAUUUGUGGUGGUGGUGGAGCUGCUCCUUAUCCCUGCAAAAUUAAGAUGUGAAGGACAUAAAAUGUGUUAUCAACUAUGAUUUUCCAUCAAGUCUUGAAGAUUAUGUCCAUAGGAUUGGCCGAACUGGACGUGCAGGGGCUAAGGGAAUGGCCUUUACCUUUUUCACCCAUGCAAAUGUUAAGU